CUCAGAAUAAGCGCACGUCACUAACAAAUUUGACGUUUGUCGUAUUAACUGUGUUAUUAACCUUUCUCGCUGUUUCCCGCUUCCCGCUAUUCGACAGCGUCCUAGGAUUGUGUUAGCGUUUUUCGGGUGUUUAUUAAAGUUUUUGUGCUUAAUCAUAGUUCAGAUAUCUGUUUCGUUGCCUUUGUUUAUUAUUUAGUGUAUGUUUGUGUUAUAAAAUUAGUUUUAGCGUUAGUACCAGAUUUCUGGAUUAGUUAUAGUUGGUGUUACUUGUUCGUGUUGUUUUGUGUGCCUGCUAACCGAUUAACAAUAAUAAUUAUAUUAAUUUAGUGUUGUUUAUGUACUCUUUUAAUAUUCGUGUUCUUUAAACAGAACUGUCAAGAUGCCUAGAACAUGUGCAGUGCCGGGUUGUAAUUCCACUGUUAAAUCAAAAGUGUCUUUCUUCAAACCUCCGAAGUCACUUGAAAGAAGGAAAGUUUGGGAAGAAGCUUUAGGAUUUACUCUUGGAAAUACAAAAUUUAUUUGUGAAUUACAUUUUAAACAGGAGGAGGUCAUAAGGGUGAAACAUUUUUACCGCGAAGAUCAAAGCAUUCUCGCGACGGUAUUAAUGAAGAGACUGCUGCAGUAGCUGCUUGCUCCAUAUCCGAAGGAUUUUCAGAAUCGGAUUUGUUUGUGCUGUACUUUUUCUUUAUUUGUCUUAAGAAAAAAUUAUAUUAUACAGUGACAAAAAGUGCUUAUCUGGUUUUUGUGAUUUCAAAUCAUUAAUGUUAAUUUUACUGCAUCUUAUGAGUUAUGACUUCCUCUAAUACUGAUUGAACAGCAAUGUCGAUAGUGUGAGUCUGUUAUAUAAUUUGAUAAAAUACUAUCGACAUGCAAGAUUUUAAGAUUUUAUAAAAUUGAAGUUAAUCUGUUAAUAAAAAAAAAUAGAAAAAAAAGUUGUUCCUAAACGAGUUACGAAAGCCUCUCUUGCUUGGGUAACUCGUACAUUUACAAUACUCGCUUCGCUCGUUUCGUAACAUUUACACUCAUUGUAUAAAAUGAGGGUUUUCAUAACUGGUUAUGUAAAUAGCUAUUCAUUAUUUGAAUUAAAUCCAUAUUUAUUUUUGCAUUUGCAUUUUAUAAAUUAGUCCUGAAAAUAUUUCAAAUAUGUAAUUACUACAGACUUUAUAGUGAUCUCAUAUAGUAUAAAUUCCAAUAUUUUUGUUCCUUACUCGAUUUUUUGUUACAUUAAAAAAAUAUGUAGAUUGA